rnacentral:rRNA from 1 species
UCGAGGGUCUUCCGCAAUGGACGCAAGUCUGACGGAGCGACGCCGCGUGCGGGAGGAAGGCCUUCGGGUUGUAAACCGCUGUUACCUGUUAAGAAUGGCUGUAUGUGAACAGCAUGCAGCUUGACGAAGGCAGGAGAGGAAGCCACGGCUAACUUCGUGCCAGCAGCCGCGGUAAUACGAAGGUGGCGAGCGUUGUUCGGAAUCACUGGGCAUAAAGCGCGCGUAGGCGGCUCUGUCAGUCGGAUGUGAAAGCCCUCAGCUCAACUGAGGAACUGCGUCCGAUACUGCAGAGCUUGAGGCUUGGAGGGGAGAGCGGAAUUCCUGGUGGAGCGGUGAAAUGCGUAGAUAUCAGGAGGAACGCCGGCGGCGAAAGCGGCUCUCUGGACAAGUCCUGACGCUGAGGCGCGAAAGCCAGGGGAGCAAACGGGAUUAGAUACCCGCGUAGUCC